rnacentral:rRNA from 1 species
AGAGUUUGAUCCUGGCUCAGGACGAACGCUGGCGGCGUGCCUAACACAUGCAAGUCGUACGGGACGGAGGGGGCAACUCUUUCGUUCAGUGGCAGACGGGUGCGUAACACGUGAGGAACUUAUCCGAUGGCGGGGGAUAGCCGGCCCAACGGCCGGGUAAUACCGCGUAAGCUCGUUUGGGGGCAUCCCUGAGCGAGGAAAGCAGCCGCAAGGUUGCGCCGUUGGAGAGUCUCGCGGCCUAUCAGCUAGUUGGCGGGGUCACGGCCCACCAAGGCGACGACGGGUAGCUGGUCUGAGAGGAUGAUCAGCCACAUUGGGACUGAGACACGGCCCAGACUCCUACGGGAGGCAGCAGUGGGGAAUAUUGCGCAAUGGCCGCAAGGCUGACGCAGCGACGCCGCGUGUGGGAUGACGGUCUUCGGAUUGUAAACCACUGUCAGGGGGAACGAAUACAGGGCCUCGAAUAGGGGACCCUGGGUGACGGUACCUCCAAAGGAAGCACCGGCUAACUCCGUGCCAGCAGCCGCGGUA